CUGUGGGUAGGGGUGAAAGGCCAAUCAAACUCCGUGAUAGCUGGUUCUCCCCGAAAUGCAUUUAGGUGCAGCGUCACGUGUUUCUUACCGGAGGUAGAGCUACUGGAUAGCUGAUGGGCCUCACCAGGUUACUGACGUUAGCCAAACUCCGAAUGCCGGUAAGUGAGAGCGUGGCAGUGAGACUGCGGGGGAUAAGCUCCGUAGUCGAGAGGGAAACAGCCCAGACCACCAUCUAAGGUCCCUAAGCGUGUGCUAAGUGGGAAAGGAUGUGGAGUUGCAUUGACAACCAGGAGGUUGGCUUAGAAGCAGCCACCCUUUAAAGAGUGCGUAAUAGCUCACUGGUCAAGUGAUUCCGCGCCGACAAUGUAGCGGGGCUCAAGCACACCACCGAAGCUGUGGCAUUGACACACUGCUCGGCCAGUUUUCCUGCGGGGUUCUGGUCCAGGCGUGUUGAUGGGUAGGGGAGCGUCGUGUGGCCAGGGAAGCGGCGGAGUGAUCCAGCCGUGGAGGCCACACGAGUGAGAAUGCAGGCAUGAGUAGCGAAUGACGGGCGAGAAACCCGUCCGCCGAAUAACCAAGGGUUCCAGGGUCAAGCUAAUCUGCCCUGGGUAAGUCGGGACCUAAGGCGAGGCCGACAGGCGUAGUCGAUGGACAUCCGGUUGAUAUUCCGGAACCGGCGAAGAACCGCCCAUGACGAACCUAGUGAUGCUAAACGCCCAAAGCUGUUGUCCAAGACCUUCGGGUUGAGGGUUUCAGUGGAGCGCGUGACCCGAUCUAGUAGUAGUCAAGCGAUGGAGAGACGCAGGAAGGUAGCCUCCGCGUGGCGAUGGUAGUCCACGUCCAAGGGUGUAGGGCGAGCUGUAGGCAAAUCCGCAGCUCACAUAGCCUGAGACCUGAUAGUGACCGCGUAUGCGGGAAGCAGGGUGAUCCUAUGCUGCCAAGAAAAUCUUCUAGCGAGGUUCGAGCCGCCCGUACCCCAAACCGA
rnacentral:rRNA from 1 species